UUUCCAACUUAUAUAAAUAAUUCAGUUAAGUCUAACCACCGUAAUACAUUAACAACAGUGAGGUGCAUACAUCUUGUGACAUUAACCUGUUGACGAGCAAUUUUACACGCGUGUUUGUGACUGCGUGGAUAAAGGACUCGUCACUUGCCUAAAUUCGCCGUCCUGCGCUGACUGGAGGAAUGGCACGGACUCGAGUGCAGCGUCCUGUCCCGCCUCAAGAACAGCACAGCGGGGCCAUCUUUACGAGAGGCUGCAGAAUGUUCGUCGUGUAAGAACGCCAUGAUGUGAAGAUAAUUACUCGGGACGAGAAGGGGAUGGAAGG